AAUCAAUAGUGAAUAAAUUUAAACUUUCUCUUCUAUCCUUCAUUUUCUGUCUCUCUCUUCGCUUCUUUCUUUCUACUUGGGCGCUGUCUCUCUCGCUAAAAGAAAAAAGAAUGGGCGUGCUCAGUACUGCGGGUUAGGAGAGCGUCUGUCGAAGAAAAAAAGAAGACGACGACAGAGGCUCCGAAUCUGUUUCCGGCGAGUAGCAAAGAUGAAGAAUAAUAAAUUAGAGGUGGCCGUGGCUGUUGGUGCAGCUGCAAGGAAAAAGAAUAGUGGCACGGUGAGUGGUGUUACUACCGAAGGAGCAGCUGGCAACAAGUUGACCACUUCGGUCAAAAGAAUGGAGAGCUCCGAGAUCCUGUCAUCGGUGGUGUGGCAGAAGAACAACUUCCCUGGCAAAGCUCAAGGUGUGAAAUUUGCUGGCAAGUUGCUCCGGCUGGAGCUGCGCCUGCUAAAGCGAAAUUGCAUAAGAGGUUAGUCAGAAAAAGCAAGAAGCCUCGAGUGAGGCCAAUCAAGUGGCACCCGCAGUUGAAUUGGUUAGGCAAAUGCAAAAUGGCCAAAAUUUUGGAGUGGUUGAAGGUGGCAAAUUGAGCUGAGAUGAAUGGCACACAAUGAGGCACAACUGCAAAGGGAGGUUGAGAGAAUGAUUGCUAAGACAAAUAUGGAGAAACUUAGAGCUGAUUUACUCUCUGUUGAG